GAUUACUAAAAUAUGCCAAAUCUUUUGUGAGGCAAACAUUAGUAGAAUGUACAUAUUUUAUGUAAAUAUUAAUCAACUGUAUGUAAAAUCAAUGUUAGAUGCAAUAUACAUCCCUGCCAAUGAUUGGUACAUUUUACUAAGCGGUAUCGGUAACUUUGACGAUUGUCAUUGCUGGAAACCGUGAAAGAAAUGUAAACAGAACAUUAUUAACCUAAUUGUCUAGCUGAUAAUUGAGUUGAGCGGAACUACUUUUCGAUAUUGUUUCUCCACAGAAAAAGGUUGAAUUUACCCAGACAGCCAAAUAAUGAUCCAUGCUCAUCUGUUGCGGGAGAAAGUGAAGACAUUACUUCAAUAAUGAGGAAUCUGGGUAAUUCGAGACACUAAAACGAGCCUAGUUGAGCUCUAAUUCCACCGCUAUAUUGUCGGAUUUGGUCAAGGGCAACUUCAUAAACUAUUUUCCGACGAUUGUGAUCGGUGGUUCGAUCAAUUGGAUGUUUUCGAAAUCGUCAAAACGAAGGUUCCGUUUCCACUGACGCUGCGCUUCAACUCAAUUUUGAAAAGGGGCAUAGAACUGGCUCUUUGAUGUAGUCUAUCGUAGCUGUUUGUAGUAAUCAUUCUGUAUUUGUAGCCGAGAAUCAAACUCAAUUGAUGCAGGAUCAGAUAUUGGACGCUGCAAUGGCCAUGCCUCGAGUUAAUGUGCAUUGUAAUGUGGUUUAUACCGCAUUUAGAUAGUUCAACAAAUGACUAAAAUUGCAUACAAUAGUUCAAAAAUUACUGUUAUACUGGCUGGUUUUACAUUUGUUUACUAAUGUUAUCGCCUAAUAUGUACGAAUAAAGUGCGCUGCACAUACAACGUCCCGUCACUGUGAAGUCAACGUGAAGGAAUGAAAUGUCAAAUAUUCUCCCAUGGAAAUCGUAUGGUAACAUUCACAUACAUCAUCACCGGAAAUUGUGACGUCGGCAGAAUAAGUCCAAGAGAAUAUUUGACGGUGACGGUGAUGUUGUAUAUGUAGCGCACUUAAUUCAUAUCGCAAAAAUCAACUAAUCAUUGGUAAUAUUUACCCAAAAAUCGUCAUAUAUACCAAUUUUUCCUAAGAGUGUAUAGUUCAUUGGUCGAAAAUACGGAAUAAUUAAAAAACCAAAUGGUAUCACUGGUAGUCCGCUAAACUGUCAUCUCAAACAAAAACAAAUGGACCAUAUAACUGACUAUGAUGUGAAAACAUCUGGAAACUAGCCGGAAGAUGAUUUCCCCCAUUACCAGUCGCCAAACAACAAGAACAACAGUGCAGAUUUUCACCGUUGUCACAGGAGCCAACAACAUCUGCAAUUCCAAUCAGCAGUAUCCUCCAAACCCAUGCCGGAGACAGCAAGAACAGCGGCAACAGCAGAAUCGAAUCCUCGGGCACAAAUGUGUAUCAAGGAAAUAAAAACUAUCAACGCAGGAGGUAUUUAUCAACGAGCUCAGCUGGACUCGAAUCGUCAAUCCGGAAACCCCGGAUUUAAAAAUUUCGCUGUAUUGUGGUUAUUUGUAUAUCACAAACACAUAUUGUUUUGUAAUACGUAUUUUUUCGAGUAAUAAAAUGACUAAAAUUGA